GCAGUUGCUUCAGAACAACCAUUUUUUCCUAUGACAAAUUUUGAAUUUUGAGGAAAGCUGUAUUUCCCAGAAAAUUUUUGAUCAUCUCCAGGUGAGAUGAUUAAGAGCUGCAGGAUAAUACAACUUUGCAAGGGAUUGUUACUGAGUGGUGCGAUCAGCUCUCAUUCUGUCACUUCCUACUGCUUCCUGCUGGUUUUAAAUGUUUAUAAUUUGCUUUUAAUUUAAGUGUGUGUAUGUGUAAAAUAUUAUAUGACCAUGCAAGAUUUAUCUUCUACCUAAUUUAUUGCUGUUCUAUUUCUUCCAUUAAAGCAUAGAUUUUUACAUCCAUUCAUUGAUUUUACAUUCCAUAGAAUCACAGAAUAUCCUGAACUGGAAGGGAACCAGAAGGAUCACUGUGUCCAACUCGUGGCUCCAUACAGCACCAGCCCAAAUCCAAACCCUAUGUCUGAGACCAUUAUCCAAUCGCCCCUUGAACUCCAUCAGCGUGAGACCAUGCCCACUGCCUGCUUUGUCUUUUUUUUUUUGGCAUGUAUUUAAUUGCUUAAUUUUUAAUUGCUUAUAUAUUAUUUAUUUUAGCAUUGACAACUAUCUGUAGGGAACUGGUAAAGUCUCAAAAGUUUUCAGGUGGAUGGAAGAACCAUUAACAACCCAGACUGCUCUACAGUGAGCUAGAUUUGCACAAGCAAGGGGGCAAAAAAAAAAAAAAAAAAAAAAGAAUAUUUAAAGUUCUGUUUUCUGUGUUACAGAGAAGUUCCAGAAUCACUCUCCUUUGUAAUGUAAAGACAGUAGCAUGAUCACCAGGCAUGUGGUCCUGACCUCAGACUGAGGAUCCUUGGCCUAGAGUCAAGCAGUCCCUGCAGUCACUGAAACAGCCAAAUUAACUGUCUGUUUAGCCAUGGAUUAAAAUUCAUCCACUGAUCCAAGACACAAAGGAAUUGAGAAGACGACAUGAUCAGCAGUUAGGAAAAGCAUCUGUGGAGAUGAUGGUUGUUAUUACUGUUGAGUGAACGUUAUACUUAUGGAACAGAUGCUCACGUGAUAUCCUAAAACAAGAGUGGUUUGGAAGAAGAGCUGACUACAGCACGUGAGAAAGUACACAUCAGCCAGACACAAAGAUGAAGUCUGCUUCCAACUUGAAGCUCAUAGCCUCUAAAUCCAGCUGAAAGCUCUUCUCCUUAAGACAGUUUUGACUAGGUGCUUCCAGGGAAAAGAGAGAAAACCAAAUGACCCAAACGAAGGUUUCUCUGCAGAGAACUAUGCAGAAGAUGUGCUCAGCUAUAUUGAUCUCUGAGGAAAUGUGGAUGAGGUAGAUAAUGUGAAACCUUUUUGUCAUUACUAACAGUUAUAUAGGUUGCGGAAACUUUCAGUGUUUGGCUGACUAGAUAAGUUGAUGCAUUCACAUUUAUUUGAUUGGAAAAGUAUGGGGAGUAAACUUUGUCUCCCUAUUUUC